AGGGGUGGAGGCGUGAAGCACGUAAACUUUCGUGGAGGCGUGGACUGCGUGCGUGCGCUUUCGAAACAGUCGGCAACUUAUCCUGUUGUGCAUCGUCGGUGCUGUCGUAUCGCUACGUAUCGUCGUCUUACACCUCGGCACAUCGACAGUGCGCCGAUCGCAACGGGCCGCUCCUAGUGCUGCUGCUCGCCGAAGUCUUCUCACGUGAUGGGCAUGAACUGCGUUAAGGCUACGGCAAUUAUUUCUUCGAAUAUGACACUCUGAAAGUCGUCCACAUCGGGAACAAAAGAUUGGCGUACUCAACAGGCUCAUUCAGCUCUUCAUCUUGGGAUACAUAAUCGGGUAUGUCAUCGUCUAUCAAAAGGGAUACCAGCAGUUCAGCACCUUCACUGCAGCUACAACAACAAAAGUCAAGGGCGUUCUGUCCACA
rnacentral:lncRNA from 1 species